GACGAACGCUGGCGGCGUGCUUAACACAUGCAAGUCGAACGGAAAGGCCCUGCUUUUGUGGGGUGCUCGAGUGGCGGACGGGUGAGUAACACGUGAGUAACCUGCCCUUGACUUUGGGAUAACUUCAGGAAACUGGGGCUAAUACCGGAUAGGAGCUCCUGCUGCAUGGUGGGGGUUGGAAAGUUUCGGCGGUUGGGGAUGGGCUCGCGGCUUAUCAGCUUGUUGGUGGGGUAGUGGCUUACCAAGGCUUUGACGGGUAGCCGGCCUGAGAGGGUGACCGGCCACAUUGGGACUGAGAUACGGCCCAGACUCCUACGGGAGGCAGCAGUGGGGAAUAUUGCACAAUGGGCGGAAGCCUGAUGCAGCAACGCCGCGUGCGGGAUGACGGCCUUCGGGUUGUAAACCGCUUUCGCCUGUGACGAAGCGUGAGUGACGGUAAUGGGUAAAGAAGCACCGGCUAACUACGUG
rnacentral:rRNA from 1 species